UACGUAGGGAGCAAGCGUUGUCCGGAUUCACUGGGUGUAAAGGGUGCGCAGGCGGAUUGGUAAGUCAGGGGUGAAAUCUCACGGCUUAACCGUGAAAUUGCCUUUGAUACUGCCAAUCUUGAGUUCGGGAGAGGUCGAUGGAAUUCCAGGUGUAGCGGUGAAAUGCGUAGAUAUCUGGAGGAACACCGGUGGCGAAGGCGACAUCCUGGACCGGCAUUGACGCUGAGGCGCGAAAGCCAGGGGAGCAAACGGG
rnacentral:rRNA from 1 species